UACGUAGGGCGCAAGCGUUGUCCGGAAUUAUUGGGCGUAAAGAGCUCGUAGGCGGUUUGUCGCGUCUGCUGUGAAAACCUAAGGCUCAACCUUGGGCUUGCAGUGGGUACGGGCAGACUAGAGUGCGGUAGGGGGUGACUGGAAUUCCUGGUGUAGCGGUGGAAUGCGCAGAUAUCAGGAGGAACACCGAUGGCGAAGGCAGGUCACUGGGCCGCAACUGACGCUGGAGGAGCGGAAAGCAUGGGAGCGAACAGG
rnacentral:rRNA from 1 species